CUACGGGAUGCACCAGUGAGGAAUAUUGCACAAUGGGGGAAACCCUGAUGCAGCAACGCCGCGUGGAGGAUGACGCAUUUCGGUGUGUAAACUCCUUUUAUCAGAGAAGAAAAUGACGGUAUCUGAUGAAUAAGCUCCGGCUAACUCCGCGCCAGCAGCCGCGGUAAUACGGAGGGAGCAAGCGUUAUUCGGAAUCACUGGGCGUAAAGGACGCGUAGGCGGGUUAUUAAGUCAGGUGUGAAAUCCAAUGGCUCAACCAUUGAACUGCACUUGAAACUGGUAACCUAGAGUAUGGAAGGGGCAGAUGGAAUUAGUGGUGUAGGGGUAAAAUCCGUAGAUAUCACUAGGAAUACCGAAAGCGAAGGCGAUCUGCUGGGACAUUACUGACGCUGAGGCGUGAAAGCGUGGGGAGCAAACAGGAUUAGAUACCCCGGUAGUC
rnacentral:rRNA from 1 species